GUUCUGUUAUCAGCAUCCCUGAUGUUACUUCUUCAUAAAAACGAAACGUUCACUGAAAUCUUCUUUUUUUUUGGAGUAAAGUUUUGUUCUUAACUGAUUCUUUUGGUCGAGAUGUAAGUCAGGAUAUGUGGCAGCCUUACCUGUAUCUGGUGUAUCCUUCAUUUAUCUUUUAAAUGAUAGAUGUGCUCAACACAGUCACCAUGCUAUAUAAUCUUUAAUGAGAGGACAUCAUAUAUUUAGCGGGAAAUAAAACUAAAAGGAUAACGCUAUCUUCUGUUCAUUCCUCCUCGGAGGAUUUUGUGCGAAGUUAGUCUAGUAUGAAGGAAGCUAGGAACAAGUCGAAAGAAGAGGAACAUAGCUGGUUCUCAUGGGGCUGCAUGUUGAAAAACACAUCCUCCUAAUGUAGCAAAUAUGUAAGCAAUCAAGAAAUCAAGCAUCUUGAUUGAUAUUGACAGUUUCAGAGCAUUUUGUAUUUUAAUAAAAGUGUUGUUUAACAAAGUACAAUUUUCCUCCAAGUCCAAAUCAGCUAAAUCAUUAAUAGUUAAUUGUUUAUCUCUUUCAGAAAUAAAC
rnacentral:lncRNA from 1 species